UUAUGGCCAUGUCACGUUGAAACACCGGGUCUUGUUCGAUCACCGAAGUUAAGCAACGUCAAGCCUGAUCAGUACCUAGAUGCGUAACCACUUGGGAAUACCAGGUACU